AUUGAACGCUGGCGGCAGGCUUAACACAUGCAAGUCGAGCGGGGUGAUGGUGCUUGCACUAUCACUUAGCGGCGGACGGGUGAGUAAUGCUUAGGAAUCUGCCUAUUAGUGGGGGACAACAUCUCGAAAGGGAUGCUAAUACCGCAUACGUCCUACGGGAGAAAGCAGGGGAUCACUUGUGACCUUGCGCUAAUAGAUGAGCCUAAGUCGGAUUAGCUAGUUGGUGGGGUAAAGGCCUACCAAGGCGACGAUCUGUAGCGGGUCUGAGAGGAGGAUCCGCCACACUGGGACUGAGACACGGCGCAGACUCCUCCGGGAGGCAGCAGUGGGGAAUAUUGGACAAUGGGGGGAACCCUGAUCCAGCCAUGCCGCGUGUGUGAAGAAGGCCUUAUGGUUGUAAAGCACUUUAAGCGAGGAGGAGGCUCUUUUGGUUAAUACCCAAGAUGAGUGGACGUUACUCGCAGAAUAAGCACCGGCUAACUCUGUGCCAGCCGCCGCCGUAAGAC
rnacentral:rRNA from 1 species